rnacentral:rRNA from 1 species
UGGGGAAUUUUGCACAAUGGGGGAAACCCUGAUGCAGCGACGCCGCGUGAUUUAGAAGGCCUUCGGGUUGUAAAAAUCUUUUCUAUGGGAAGAAAAUGACAGUACCAUAGGAAUAAGUACCGGCUAAUUACGUGCCAGCAGCCGCGGUAAUACGUAAGGUCCGAGCGUUGUCCGGAAUCAUGGGGCGUAAAGGGUACGUAGGCGGGUAAGCAAGUUAGAAGUGAAAUCCUAUAGCUCAACUAUAGUAAGCUUUUAAAACUGCUCAUCUGGAGGUAUGGAAGGGAAAGUGGAAUUCCUAGUGUAGAGGUGAAAUGCGCAGAUAUUAGGAGGAAUACCGGUGGCGAAGGCGACUUUCUGGCCAUAACCUGACGCUGAGGUACGAAAGCGUGGGUAGCAAACAGG